rnacentral:rRNA from 1 species
AUUGAACGCUGGCGGCAGGCUUAACACAUGCAAGUCGAGCGGGGUGAUGGUGCUUGCACUAUCACUUAGCGGCGGACGGGUGAGUAAUGCUUAGGAAUCUGCCUAUUAGUGGGGGACAACAUCUCGAAAGGGAUGCUAAUACCGCAUACGUCCUACGGGAGAAAGCAGGGGAUCACUUGUGACCUUGCGCUAAUAGAUGGGCCUAGGUCGGAUUAGCUAGUUGGUGGGGUAAAGGCCUACCAAGGCGACGAUCUGUAGCGGGUGUGAGAGGAUGAUCCGCCACACUGGGACUGAGACACGGCCCAGACUCCUACGGGAGGCAGCAGUGGGGAAUAUUGGACAAUGGGGGGAACCCUGAUCCAGCCAUGCCGCGUGUGUGAAGAAGGCCUUAUGGUUGUAAAGCACUUUAAGCGAGGAGGAGGCUCUUUUGGUUAAUACCCAAGAUGAGUGGACGUUACUCGCAGAAUAAGCACCGGCUAACUCUGUGCCAGCCGCCGCAGUAA